rnacentral:rRNA from 1 species
CCUACGGGAGGCAGCAGUGGGGAAUAUUGGACAAUGGGCCACAAGCCUGAUCCAGCAAUUCUGUGUGCACGAUGAAGGUCUUCGGAUCGUAAAGUGCUUUCAGUUGGGAAGAAGAAAGUGACGGUACCAACAGAAGAAGCGACGGCUAAAUACGUGCCAGCAGCCGCGGUAUA